CUGUAAGGCAUAAGAAGUUAAAAGCAAGAUCUCCCUGGCAUUUUCCAGGAAUUUGAAAUAGGUACAUGAGGAGAGAAGCUCAAUUAUUACCCAGGUCUCUGGGACUAUCCCAGGCACAAUCCCAAGAGUCCAGCUUUCCAAACCAGGGUCCCUGGGUUCUGAAGGCCUUUUUGGGGAAAGUACUGAUGUUCGUGUCAAGGUUGGGAGGAAGGGUUUGGAAGGCCCCAGGCGAUGGGAAGGCAAAGAGAAGGUAUCAAGAAGCAAGGCAAGAACUUUCCACAGGUUCACGUUGGAUACAGCACCGGAGACAAGAAACUGAGUGAAUUUCUGGUGUUUUCUUACAGAGGUUUGUUAUCCAGUUGUACAGAGUCUAUUUCAGAAUAAGUCUUUUUCAAAUCAGCUCUUUUAAUGUGAAGCCAUAACUUUCUGGUGUUGCCUGAUGCAAAUCUCUAAUGUGAGCCUUUGCCCUGGGUGUCCUUUUUGUUAAUUACAUGUUCCAAAGAGAACACGGUAAAAAUCUUGACUCCUCUUCCCAUCUCCCGAUCUUACCUUUUUCCAUGUAAAGGCCGCAGUUUUUGCUAGCAGGAGGCGUCAGUGGUUUUAGUGGUGGAAUUCCUGCCUCCCAUGCACGAGAUCCGUGUUCAACUCCUGGUUGGUGCAGCGUGCAGUUUCCGCACAAUGCGGUUUUUACAUUUAUUUACCAUAACUGUGUAUACUCAGGCAGGUCACAGCCGCAAUAAUAAACAGAAGGAAAAGGGAACUACUGUAUAGCUUUCCAGUUCCUUCUGGAGUGGAAUUUCUCUAAGCAAGGACUUCGCAGAGACUGUCUUUGAAGCAGCUAGUGUGUCUGGUUGGUCUCUGCGUUUGCAUAUUUGGCCCUAAAACCGACGGGACGUUUAUUGUCUCUUCUGGCGGAUCCCUGAAAUACACAGUCACCUGGACACUGAUUUCACUGACUGGACCUUGGACAGACCACGUAUCGCGGUGGAGUGAGGCUCAAGAAAGGAGAGAAGCUGUGGGGUCGGACAGACACACGCAGUGGGGAAGGGGCAGUGGGUACGGGGGCCCAGGGACAGGGGAGGCGUGUGGGAAGGAACCCGCACGCAGAUGAGGGGAGCUGCAGAGAGGGACCUCGGAUCUUCCUGUCGAGGAAGGCCCAGUCUUUGGUGGUAUCGGCAAAAUGAAGGAUGGGCCCCAAGUGGAGAGCAGCACGUCCCCAAAACUCAUUUCGAUUACCCCUGUUUUAUACUCCACCAAGCAAAUCUUCUAUCUAGGGGAUUCUUUGUAAUACGUCUCUUUAAGCAUCGUGCUGGAGAGGCCAUGACAAUCAUUACCUCUGGAGAUUUGCGGAGGAAAGCUGGAAAAGGAAAGCCCCGGGAUCAUCUGGUUUGUCCUCCCCUGUUUUCAUCUACUCUUUUCCUCAGGGAAGCUUAUAUUGUGUCCAGGAGUCGCAUCGCAGCUGCGUCACUGGUGGAUUAAGAUCCGCUGAUGGCGGGGCGUGGUGGAUCACCCCUGUAAUCCCAGCACUUUGGGAGGCCGAGGCGGGCGGAUCGCAAGGUCAGGAGAUCCAGACCAUCCUGGUCAACAUGGUGAAACCCCAUCCCUACCAAAAAUACAAAAAAUUAGCUGGGCGUGGUGGUGCGCGCCUGUAGUCCCAGCUACUCGGGAGGCUGAGGAAGGAGAAUCGCUGGAACCCGGGAGGCGGAGGUUGCAGUGAGCCGAGAUCGCACCACUGCACUCCAGCCUGGCCACAGAGCGACACUCCGUCUCAAAAAAUAAACAGCCGCUGACAAAUCUCUUUCGUGAAGGGGUAAGAGCCGCAGUUGGCCCAUAGCAAGGGAGUCAGAAGCAAGAGCAGAACCGAAAAUACUUUUCUCUAUGUCGUUCUCUCUCUCCUACCUGUGAACAUCAACCUUCCACACACACCGGUUCAAAACCGCCUUGGUCUCUAAGGGAGAUUUACCAUUUUUCACAGGUCCCGUAAGCCAUGUUUCCUUCUUGCUUCUACAGUUUUUCCAGGGCUGAGUUUCAGGAGCUGGUCAGCAGUGCAGGCUACUUCAAUAUCCUGGUUCAAAACCAUUUGUCUGGUUUUGCUAGUAAAGUGCCU
rnacentral:lncRNA from 1 species